GACGAACGCUGGCGGCGUGCUUAACACAUGCAAGUCGAACGGUAAGGCCCCAGCUUGCUGGGGUACACGAGUGGCGAACGGGUGAGUAACACGUGGGUGACCUGCCCCGCACUUCGGGAUAAGCCUGGGAAACUGGGUCUAAUACCGGAUAGGACCGCACCGUGAGGGUGUGGUGGAAAGUUUUUCGGUGUGGGAUGGGCCCGCGGCCUAUCAGCUUGUUGGUGGGGUAAUGGCCUACCAAGGCGGCGACGGGUAGCCGGCCUGAGAGGGUGGACGGCCACAUUGGGACUGAGACACGGCCCAGACUCCUACGGGAGGCAGCAGUGGGGAAUAUUGCACAAUGGGCGGAAGCCGGAUGCAGCGACGCCGCGUGGGGGAUGACGGCCUUCGGGUUGUAAACUCCUUUCACCAUCGACGAAGGUUUUCUGACGGUAGAUGGAGAAGAAGCACCGGCUAACUACGU
rnacentral:rRNA from 1 species